CUUCUCCAUUUGCAUCUGAAUGAAUCGAAAAAAAUUAAAACAUUCAUACAUCAUAGUAAUGUAAAUUACAAAGGGUACGACGCGACGACUAUGGCUGGUCACGCCACUGACGUGACUGCGAUGCUGGGGACUAAUGAAGACGUGCGGGACCAGUCGUCGUUUCUCUUUCAACCGGUCUCCCUCCACCCCAUAUUAACAUCCAUCCCUCUCCCUCUCAUACACCUCACGCACAAACAAUCAGUCCUACUCUCGACAAAAAAAAUUUAUUCCCUUUCUUUUAAACUGCCUCCCUGCCCCCACCCCACCACUUCCGCGCCCUCUGUCAUCUCGCGCCUGUCGUCCAUUUCCUGUCCACUCUUCCCCUCCCCCCCCCCUCCCUCCAAUCAUCAUGGAACAGGUUUUAUCCUCGUGACAAGAGGAAAGAGAAGAAGAGAUUAAAGAAAAGGAGUAGAACGAUUGCCAAAGAGGAGAACCGCCGCAUUACCAGAAGCCCUAGAUGCAGGAAGACGACAAGAGGUUAUGCUCAACCCUUUGGUCCCAUUGGAUCAACCCAUUGGUCAUCCUCCAAGUGACAUCGCCCAUCAGUGAAUGAACCCUCCUAAUUUGUCCCUCGACAUUUCCGUGUUCUUCAGUAAUCCAUCGUCAUUCGGAAACAGAUGUAAAAUACCAGGGAAUAAUAAUGAAACCAGAAAAUGGCGGAUUGCGAAGGGUAACAACCGACGAAGCGGGCCCGGUAUAUUGGCAGAAAUUAAGUUGUUAAGACGAUGCCUCGGGCGUAACCGUGGCCUCAGGAUGGCUGAGAGAGAAAGGUCGAAGAGGAGAGAUGAAGACAGACAUAUGUGAUACCAUAUGAAGACAACGGUAUCCUGUACUGCCACACGCUGAAGAUAAUGGCGGUCGGUGUUUUGUUGGCGAUUGGAGGGGGAGGCCAUUUCUGAGAAUGUUAGAGAGAGUGAGGCAACGACUGAGUGAAAAAGAAGUGGAGAAUGAGGGAGAGAGGGCGAAUGACUGGAGGAAGCUCACGGUUGGAGUUAAACUAACAUAACAGUGCGAAGGAGUACCGGAGGGACGAGAAAGCGUCGAAGGCAAUAGUUACGAGGAACCCAAGGAGGCAUUAACCGGCGCACCAAGGGACGGGACGCACCACUGGCUGGCCCUAUGGACCCAGCGUGUGCGGCUCUGGUGGAUGGUAGAGAGAGAAGAGAAGAGAAAUGCUGUAAAUGUGCGGCAAAAGGGCCCCAAUGGAAACGAGAAGAAAACCCAGCGGCCACUUCUCUCUGACCGACUGUCUCUGUUUAAAUGGACGGGGGAGAGCGAGAGGGAGAUAGAGAUUGUCAGGAGGGAUAAGAACAGCGUGGCGUGCACACGAACCUCGUCCUCCGGCACGUAGCCUACACUGACAGAUACAUCUUUAUUGUUGCCCUGGCUCUCCUUACUCGAUUCUUUCAACCUUCUUACCAUUCUGUAUCAUAUUCCUCGUAGUUUUUUUAUCGCAGCCGUUUUUCAGAUGACUUUUUGGUGUUUCGAGAGGAUAAGUGGGAAAAAUAGAGAAUACUGAGUAGAUUUUUUUUCUGACGUUUCUGAAGAAUACACUGUGAUUUUAUUUUAACUAAUUCCUACGACUUUCCCCCGGAUUCAUUUUUUUCAGUUAUUAAUUUUUUUCCAAUCCACUUUUCCGGUGACAAAAUAUGAGAGUCAGGUUUGUGUAAAAAUCAAAAUUGUUCAUUUUCAUUGAUAUCCAAGAAGGAAAGGCAUUGCCAAUGAGGCAUUCACGUGGCGAAAAAACUUAUUUUGGCGAAAGUCGACUUUCCCUCUGAAGAAUCUCAAUAUCUGAGUCCGGAUCUGAGUGAAAAAGAUUUUUUCUUCGACAUUUCUAUCACUCACUUACCGGACUGGUGCGUCCACUUUCCUGUUCAGCGGAUUUGCAGACACCGCCGAAUUCUCUAGAAAAAUAUUUCUCACGUGUCUCCUAAUUAGCACACAAUCCCAUUACUAAAAUUGCAAUAAAUAACCUUCAUCAAAACAUCUCGAUAAAUCUCCCCCAAGAGUGAUACAAAAAAUUAAAAUUCACUCACAAACAGAUUACGAAAAUUCAAAAAUUAAAAUAUCUUAAUCUCCUCAUCUAGCACUAGCCCAUAUCCCCUCCUCCCCCGCCCGUCGAUUUUUCGUAUACCGAUCAUCCACAAAAGAAAUACAUAAAAGCCGCCGCUACACAUAUAAAUCAAUGGAUUUGUAUCCCCAGCUUCGCUCUAAAGUGAGACAUCAUCGGUCAGUGUUAGUUGGAUGCUGGGUCGGUGAAUCGCUGAAAGCCACCACAAAAGCCUCCAGGUCAGGAGGAGAAAGCGUGAGGGGAGGGUGAGGUGUGUAAAAACGAGGGAUACUGAAGAAGAAGUAGGCGGAGACUUGCUCGCCUCGCUAUUCUACACUUUUUACAUCUUUUUCAUUUAUUUUUCAAUGCCGGAUGCUCCUCUCGUUUUUCCUUUUUCGCCCGAAACUCCAACGCCAGAAGAGAGGGGGAGAAAAAAUUGUUUUGUCAGAACUCGAGGAUUUUACACGCCCGGGAAUUUAAGGGAAUUGCAGUGGUUCAUUAUAGGAAACAAAUGGAGAAUUGGACUGACCCUUCAGAGCCACGUCAAUCAAGGGAGUGUAGUAUUGAACUUAAUGAGGGUUAAGUGAUGGAUAGCGCGGAAUAAGACGGGGGAAUGGAUAGGCGCCAUAAAUUCAUUUACACGCCCGCAUCGGAGUAAUUGUCUGGGAUACGCGAGAAUUUGUGUUAAUUGAGGUGUUGGGUUUUUAUUUAGUGUCCAGGGUGGAAGGGCGGAAGUUAAUAAUGAUCUUAAACUUCGAAAACGACUAUCGGCACAAAAAAUGUCGUCUCCGAGACGUCUCACUAGGACUUUUCACACCAGUGACAGUGACCGCGAUUUGGCAGCUCGGGAAGCUCCAAGUCACGGGAGAAAAAAUUACAUUUUUAAGGGAGUCGAAUUUCUAGAUCAAUCGAGGAUUAGGGAAGCUACUGAUUACUAUUUAAAAUACUUGAUAUGUGUGGACAUAAAUUAAUAAUGUGUCUAUAGCUGUUUCCAGUCCAUCUUAGUAUGUUAUAGUUUUUAUAGUUUUUCUUCAAAUAGUACCAAAAUGUUUAGAAUGGUUUUAAUAAAUCGAACCAGAGAAGAAACAGAAAGGAUGAACAAGGGCCUUUUGUCAAAUGGGUCUGGAGACAUCGUACGAGAAAGAUAUACCUUCUGCGUGCGAUAAUAAAUAAUGAAAGUUAAUAGUUAAAUCGUUUUUAUAUUACUGAGACAAUCCCUAUCAACAAUCCAAUAAUUACCUUUCCAUAUAUUUCUCCUUCCGUGUAAUCUCCCACAUAAACCAAUCGCACCUCGAUAGAGCCAGAGAUACA